CCUACGGGUGGCUGCAGUGGGGAAUAUUGGACAAUGGGGGCAACCCUGAUCCAGCCAUGCCGCGUGUGUGAAGAAGGCCCUCGGGUUGUAAAGCACUUUCAGUGAGGAAGAACGCCUGGUGGUUAAUACCCAUCAGGAAAGACAUCACUCACAGAAGAAGCACCGGCUAACUCCGUGCCAGCAGCCGCGGUAAUACGGAGGGUGCGAGCGUUAAUCGGAAUUACUGGGCGUAAAGCGCGCGUAGGUGGCUUGAUAAGCCGGUUGUGAAAGCCCCGGGCUCAACCUGGGAACGGCAUUCGGAACUGUCAAGCUAGAGUGCAGGAGAGGAAGGUAGAAUUCCCGGUGUAGCGGUGAAAUGCGUAGAGAUCGGGAGGAAUACCAGUGGCGAAGGCGGCCUUCUGGACUGACACUGACACUGAGGUGCGAAAGCGUGGGUAGCAAACAGGAUUAGAUACCCUGGUAGUC
rnacentral:rRNA from 1 species